AUGAUCGUGUGGAAUGUCUGUGGGCUAAAUGCACCAGCCCGUCGGAACGUUGUAUUCCAGGUAGUAACUAUGGUAAGCCCGACCAUUGUGUGUCUUCAAGAAACAAAACUACAAGAUGUACCGGUGAAUGUUGUACGUCAGUGCCUUGGUGCUAAAUUUGAGAACUUUUUCUACUUGCCGGCCUUGGGGACACUUGGUGGGAUCUUGGUGGCUUGGGAUGCCACGAUCACACAACUUUCAAACCUGCACUAUACUAACCAUACACUCACGGUGCUUGUGAAGUGA
rnacentral:rRNA from 1 species